rnacentral:rRNA from 1 species
AUUGGGUUUAAAGGGAGCGUAGGCGGAUUGUUAAGUCAGCGGUUAAAGGGUGUGGCUCAACCAUACAUUGCCGUUGAAACUGGCGAUCUUGAGUGCAGACAGGGAUGCCGGAAUUCGUGGUGUAGCGGUGAAAUGCUUAGAUAUCACGAAGAACUCCGAUCGCGAAGGCAGGUGUCCGGGCUGCAACUGACGCUGAGGCUCGAAAGUGUGGGUAUCAAACAGGAUUAGAUACCCUGGUAGUCCACGCUGUAAACGUUGGGCACUAGGUGUGGGGGCCACCCGUGGUUUCUGCGCCGUAGCUAACGCUUUAAGUGCCCCGCCUGGGGAGUACGGCCGCAAGGCUAAAACUCAAAGGAAUUGACGGGGGCCCGCACAAGCGGCGGAGCAUGCGGAUUAAUUCGAUGCAACGCGAAGAACCUUACCAAGGCUUGACAUGCACGGCGGCACUGCAGAGAUGUGGUGGCAUUUGGUUGGUCGUGUGCAGGUGGUGCAUGGUUGUCGUCAGCUCGUGUCGUGAGAAG